GUCUACAGCCAUACCACCCUGAAAGUGCCGAUCUCAUCUGAUCUCAUGAGAUCUCGAAAGCUAAGCAGGGUUGGGCCUGGAUAGUACUUGGAUGGGAGAAUAAGAAUACGUAUAAACAUUAGCUA
rnacentral:rRNA from 1 species